GGGGCUGACCGGUUUUGACGGCCUGUGCGGCUGCGAGUAAGCAUGUCGGGAGUUGGAAGGACCUCCUGUUAAAAAUUCUUCCGAACUAUAAUUGGCGAAUCUAACUACGCCCUUGCCGCUUAAUUAAGAAUUAAGUCGCAUGUGUCCUGUUAUCUCUACACACUACCGGGAUAACGCUCAGGGCAUCAUCAGGUAAGUGUCUUGUGUUGUAAGGUUACGCGCAACAUACAGUAUUAGUAAAUAAGGUUAAUGUGCGGGGUGUGGCUACCUUGCAUUAACCCGACAAUCAACCAGCCAAUAAACAUGUAGAAGGCUCGACGGUUUCCUUGUCCGGACGAGGGUUCGAAUCCCUCCAGCUCCACAA
rnacentral:tmRNA from 1 species